AGAAUUGGGCCGGUCCAGUCCAAAAUAUCCUUCCUCAGCGACCCAAUCCUUUCCCCAUUCUUCUCCUCCCAAUCAGCUCCCGCAUCUCGCAUCUCACCUCUGGCUCCUCUCCUCUCUCAAGCCGCCGCCGGCGCUCUCCAUCGAGAUGGCUCUGUGCCAUUCAUCCCCUCUCUCUCGGCGGCUACCCAUUGAAAGCAGCAGGUUGCCGCCUCCGCGUCGCAGCAGGUCCACUAUUCCCCUCGUCGUGCUCCUUCCCCAAUCCCUCUUCAUCAUCACACAGCCGCCACCGUCCUUGUCCUCCACCCCCUCCCCUCCUCCCUGUUGGGUUUCUUAUUGUGCCUCGCUGCCAAUGUCCUCCUCGAGGUGGUGUGCUCGCACACCUCGGUGUUCGUCGGCUCCGGCGAGGCAGGCCACGUCCGUUCUCAGAGGCGGGCUGGACAUGGCGGUUCCUCAUCCAAUUCCCUCCCAUCUUGGGUUAGAACCCUAGCCUCUCCAAUCCCCUGAUGCGUCUCCACCCAUUCCUCUCCCUCUCCACUCCAUCUCAUGAUUGAAUCGCCGCCGCCGCUCAAUAUCCUCAUCCAGCCGAGCUUGCCGUGCCUCCGUCGCUGGGAGGAAGCACAUGGAAGUGGUAGAUUGAUGCGGGGAUCGGAGCGGGUAGAAGUGUGUCCGCUGCAGGCGCUGCAGCUUGAUGGUUCUCGCUCAAGGCGACGCUACCGCUCUUCGAGCCAUUGUUAUCUCAGCCACAGCUCCACCCAACAAUGGCUAGAAGAAGUGUGGUCUUAAGCACCGCCAAGAUGAUGAAAUCUACAGACGUGGAACUCUAUCGAUAUUUGUGAAUGCUUGGCGCCAUACUGAGCUAUGAAGCGGGCACAACUGUUCUCCAUGGCGGCGGCAAGGGGCCAGCUAAUGGGAUGCUGGACAAGAUUGAAAGACCCAAACCUACAUGAACAUCUUCUCCAUUUGAUUUAUUAGCUUCCGGGGGUGCAGGUUACAGUAUUCCUACUUAAUAUUGUGCCACGUGAAGGUUGUUUGUGCUUGAGCAUAAGAUUUCUCUCUUUUCGUAUCUGAAUAUUCCCUUAUGAUAUCUGAUGCCGCCGCCGGCGCUCUCCAUCGAGAUGGCUCUGUGCCAUUCAUCCCCUCUCUCUCGGUGGCUACUCAUUGAAAGCAGCAGGUUGCCGCCUCCGCGUCGCAGCAGGUCCACUAUUCCCCUCGUCGUGCUCCUUCCCCAAUCCCUCUUCAUCAUCACACAGCCGCCACCAUCCUUGUCCUCCACCCCCUGCCCUCCUCCCUGUUGGGUUUCUUAUUGUGCCUCGCUGCCAAUGUCCUCCUCGAGGUGGUGUGCUCGCACACCUCGGUGUUCGUCGGCUCCGGCGAGGCAGGCCACGUCCGUUCUCAGAGGCGGGCUGGACAUGGCGGUUCCUCAUCCAAUUCCCUCCCAUCUUGGGUUAGAACCCUAGCCUCUCCAAUCCCCUGAUGCGUCUCCACCCAUUCCUCUCCCUCUCCACUCCAUCUCAUGAUUGAGUCGCCGCCGCCGCUCAAUAUCCUCAUCCAGCCGAGCUUGCCGUGCCUCCGUCGCUGGGAGGAAGCACAUGGAAGUGGUAGAUUGAUGCGGGGAUCGGAGCGGGUAGAAGUGUGUCCGCUGCAGGCGCUGCAGCUUGAUGGUUCUCGCUCAAGGCGACGCUACCGCUCUUCGAGCCAUUGUUAUCUCAGCCACAGCUCCACCCAACAAUGGCUAGAAGAAGUGUGGUCUUAAGCACCGCCAAGAUGAUGAAAUCUACAGACGUGGAACUCUAUCGAUAUUUGUGCGUUCAAAUACCUUGGAAAAGGCCACUAGAGCUGCACAUCUGCAAUUUGUUCCUUACAAAAUGUACUGUAGAAACAAGCUACAGAACUCAGUUCUACCACUAUAGGCAGAUAAUCCCAAGUUUCGCAAAGAGAAAUAGAAGGAAAUGCAUUGAAUGCUUGGCGCCAUACUGAGCUACGAAGCGGGCACAACUGUUCUCCAUGGCGGCGGCAAGGGGCCAGCUAAUGGGAUGCUGGACAAUAUUGAAAGACCCAAACCUACAUGAACAUCUUCUCCAUUUGAUUUAUUAGCUUCCAGGGGUGCAGGUUACAGUAUUCCUACUUAAUAUUGUGCCACGUGAAGGUUGUUUGUGCUUGAGCAUAAGAUUUCUCUCUUUUCGUAUCUGAAUAUUCCCUUAUGAUAUCUGAUGGUUCGAGUGUGCUGGGAGAAGAUUUCUGGCAACAUAUAUGCAAUGAAAUAGCUGAAGAAGCCUGAUGUAGUUAAGAGGGGUCAAGUAAGAUGGCUCCUAUUGUUUCCAUUUUAUCUUUGUUUGAGUAAUGCUAAAAGUUUCUUAUCAGUUAAUCCAUGUCUUCAGGUCAUAUACUUUGAGCAACACAUAACACGUAUGAGGUUUUCAGUUAUGUACUCUGUCUAAUGCAGUAUGCUUAAUCUGGAAAAGUUACCCCUUAUUCCUUCUCAUGUGUAAAUAUAUGAGAGGAGUGAUUCUAAUCUGACAUGAUGUUUUGAAUGCUAGAAAGAUCAGUACCGGCUGAUUGGGUUUCCAAUGUUUGCUUGUAUACAUAGUAGCAUCCUUUUCCUGAUAGGGUUAUGCCAUAAGUAGCAAUUUUGCAGAGCGUAAACCACUGGUGAGACACAAGUAACCAGGAGUCACAGUGUGCAGUGUGCACUUAUUUCUUCAACAAAACAUGCGCGAUGUUACCAAUAAUUUUGUCUUUAGUAGAACAAUAAUGACAUGGUCCUGCUUCAUGUACCUAUCAUCCUCUAGAAACAACCCAUAUUUAUUUACUUGGUUAAUUGUUGGUUAGUGGCGAUCAGGAAACAGUGAAGGGUUUGGUUCCACCUUGGACCGCUUGAUCUUUUCUUUCUUUUCUUCCAAGGAAUCUGAACCGUUCAUUUAACAAAUGUCUCAUUUUACCUUAAAAAGGCAUUAUUUGCUAAAUAUUUCUUAUUUGCAUGAUAUGUUAUCAUUAGUGAGCUGGCAUUGGUACUUUGUUACCUAUAUAUGUCUAGAGAAAAUCCUAUUUACAUUAGUUUGUUUUUGUUUUUUCAUGUCUGCUGGCAUAGCCGGAUCUAACAAAUAUGAUGGUUGGCUGGUUCUUUCUAAAAUUUCCUUCUUUUUUUGCACUUCGGAAUAUACAAUAAGAUCAGUUUUUCAAGUUCCAUUUUGUUGUUUUAAUAUGGCAUACUAGGUGGGAGUGCGCAUACCUGAAAAUUGAUACUGCAAACCGCAUGUUGUAUGCCAAUGGCAUAAUAUCCUUCUAUUUCAAAGGAAAAUGUGUUGUUCUUUGUUUCUGCUCCAAUAUAUGUUAUAAAGUAUCUAAUAUUUGACCUGUAAGUAGUAUUUUUCACGUCCUUUGUAUUUACCCACUAUUAAUUUUCUACAGUUCUCUUCCACCUUCUGCAUCUUAAGCAUCUUUCAGCAAACCAGUUUUCAUCAUCAUGUAGAUCUUUCUCUAAAUCUUUCGCGAGAAAAGAUUUUCUCUAAAUCAUGUGAUGCAUUUUCAGGUAUGAGCACCAAACGAAAUAAUCACAAAGUAGAAAAUACCAUGUCAUUUCAUUGAGCACUAACUCAGUGUGUGUAUUGCAGAAUUGUGAUAUUCGGACAUCCAUGUCAAUUUGGUAUUUACUUUACAUCGGUCCAUUAUUGAGCUUGUGAUGCUCGUAUUACUGAACAGACAUUCGGCUCUACUGUUUUGUUUUGUUAAACACAAGACGGAUGUGGUCUUUUCGACCCGUUCGGCGACUUCCCGUCCGCAAUCAACAACGUCAGGCUAGCUCAGGGAGGAGCGGCAGCGGCGGCGCGCCGUCGACACGGUCUGGAGGUUGAAGAUGAAGGGCUUCUCAAGGAUCUCAUUUACAUGCUUCGGUCCUAUGAAAUGUUUCCUCAGGAUGUAGUUGAGCCUGCAGAGCAGGCUGGUAAUAACUCGAUUUGAGGAAGGGGCUAGAACAUUCAUACAGUGAGAGUGUUCCUUAACAUUGUGAUAAGCAUAUAGACUGAAUAAAAACUUCUUUGAAAGCAAACUUAACAUUCUCAGUUUGGACUAGGUUUCACCUUUUCUAAUAUGUUCAUCUGCAAAUCCAUUGUUGGAUGGUGGAUAACUUUUUCAUUUUUAUAAAUUCCUUCAGCUACACACAACGAAUGAGCUCUGGAAGUUUCAGCAAUUUCAGAAAAACUAAGGUCAGUACUUCUUCCUCUUUUUUUCUUUGCCUUUUUCUAAAUAUUUGACAAUGAACCCUUUUUUGAUUAAACAUUACUAAAAAAAUAUCUUGCUCAUUAUCUGAAUGGAUGGCCUUUGGAUGCUUUGUCUUUGAUGGAUUUUUAUUUUAAGUACUCAACAUUCCACGUGCCUUCCCCUAUUAGUGGUGGUGAACCAGAAAACCCAUUUGCAACUACACGAAAGUAAAAAAAGGGAGAGGAGUGAAAAUACUUAGGAGCUGGGCAAUUUUAGGCGUGAUUUGUUUUGAAUUUUCUAAUUUUCCUUUCAUACGGUCAACUUCACCACCUGUCCCCAUAUCGGUAGAUCUUACAAAGGGAGAAUCAUCGAUCUUACAAAGGGAGAAUCCUAUUAUUUUGUAUGCUAUAAUUCUCCAUUUGUAAGAUCUACCGAAGGGUGAAAAUAUACGAUGCUACUAAGAAAAAUAUACGAUUACUAUUAUUUUGUAUGUUAUAAUUCCCUGGAUUAUUUUACCUUUCUUCUUUAUAUAUUUCCUUCACUUGCUUGUACAUGUUUCAAGAUGGGAAGUACAUCGGCUCGCGUGGUAAGAUGUUGGCGUGGCUGCUCCCUGAUAUGCGGCGACUAGCAGAUCCAUGUCCACUAUGAGCUCCUCCUCCUUUUGUUCAUGGCAGCCCGUGACUCCAUGAGCAUUCUCCAUCCCUGUUCUAUAACACAUAUUUGUUUGAUGUUGCCAACAGAUCGAUGAUUACUCCUUUGUCUAACUCUGCUUAUGAGAAGAGAUAUAUAGGAUGUAGGGAAUUAAGUUCCACCCUUGUCUUGUGAUAUAUAUUACUAAAACCUGAUAUGACUUAGGAUGCAAGCCUGAAGGGACUAUACAUACAUGGUUUCAGGCUUUUUCGGUGUAUUAGUUUAGGACUAUUUUCCCAACCUUUUCUGGUGUAUAAUGCACUUCUUUUGUUUGUUUUAAUUCUCUAUCCUUCUCAUAUGAAUACACUGAGAAGUUCUUCGCGGUUGGUAACCGUUUAGAUUAUCAGGUACAUGUUUAAUAUUAUCUCCUUCGUUUGCUUUGAGAAUAAUAUUUCUAUGCUAGACCAUGCUAUUUAGUCCUAUUUAUUGGCACUAAUUGUUAUCUUGGAUGCAGUCCAUGGAUCAACUAAUUGGUGCAACGGAUUUAUAUUUUGUAGAUGUUAGGCGGUGGUUUCCGAGGAAUCCAAAUAACCUGGGGUUGUUUUCAGAUUUGGCGAGCAUCCGGAAGAGGAUAGUGAUGAAGUCUUCAAGGCUCAGCUAAUUGUAUUACUCGUGUUGUGAAUGUCAAGCUGCUAUUUCUUCCAGGUCUUGGGUGGGAUGAAUGGGUAAGAUGGAGAGAUUGUCCUCCACUGGUGAUGCAAGCUUACAUUAGUAUCACAAAAUGUCCAUUCUUUCCACUCACUUUGUUUCCUCACCAGUGUUGCUUUUACUGGAGGACAUUCAUAGCUCUGUCUAAAGAGGUUGUUCUCUUUAUUCUUUCAUUAUCUUAAGAACAAAACUAGGGAAGUGCAGAUGAAUACAAUAUUUUUGUUUCUUCUUCCUGUUUGAGUAGUCAUUCCUUACUGAUUAAACAACCUACUUUCCUUUUUAGUGGUUCUUUGUGCCCAUUUCUCUCUAGGUGCUUAAUGUUUUCUUUUUGGUUGUAGUUCAUUUGCCAAUUUUUGUAGAUUUUUUUUAUUAUAAACAUGGUUUGAAGAUUUUGCAUACCACUAUAUUAGAAAUUUAUCCUCAUCAUUAAUUUUAUGAAUAUCUCUACUAUAGAUUUUGUUUGAUCUCCUUCCAACAUGUCCCAAGAGUGGGUUCUCAUGUUCAGCACAUUUCAGUAUGUUCAUCAUUUAGAGCCUCUAAAGGUUAUUCGAAUUACCACUUUAGUUAUUUUAUAGACAUUUUAUUUUAUACAGAGAUGUAGUUAUAUGAAGUAAAGUAUAAUUAUUCAUUGGACUACAUACGUUAACACUGCCAUAUUUUCUAAUUCUCCAACUUAGCUAUGAUAAUUUAGGUGUUGGAUGUCUAUCUAAACUGUAAUUUUAUUUAAAUUAUUCUUAAAUUAGUGAUAUAUGCUAAUUUAUCAUAUACAUGUUUUCGAUGUCUAUUCGAGACCGACAAGCACCUGGGUUGGAUGGCACUGCAGCCGAGCGAUAAAGCCAGUUCUAAUUUAUCUACUAUCAUUGCAUUGGCCACUUCCACUACACGGAGGACCGAUGUCGCCCACCUUCCCCAUCAUGUCACAAUAGUUAUCGUCGAUCAUGUUCUUCCGUUCAAUGUACCCGUUAAGAAUGUACUUUUUAGAAUCUGGCUGAUUCCUCAAAUAUUUGGGAAGUGUGCUCGAUGAUAAAUUAAUGUAUGUUAUAAAUUGUUAUGCCUGCUU